CUAGCUUGCUAGGUGGAUUAGUGGCGCACGGGUGAGUAACGCAUAGAUGACAUGCCCUUUAGUUUGGGAUAGCCACUAGAAAUGGUGAUUAAUACCAAAUACUACCCUACGGGGGAAAGAUUUAUCGCUAAAGGAUUGGUCUAUGUCCUAUCAGCUUGUUGGUGAGGUAAAGGCUCACCAAGGCUAUGACGGGUAUCCGGCCUGAGAGGGUGAACGGACACACUGGAACUGAGACACGGUCCAGACUCCUACGGGAGGCAGCAGUAGGGAAUAUUGCUCAAUGGGCGCAAGCCUGAAGCAGCAACGCCGCGUGGAGGAUGAAGGUUUUAGGAUUGUAAACUCCCUUUG
rnacentral:rRNA from 1 species